UCUCUAUUAUUGUCCCAUUA
rnacentral:sRNA from 1 species